rnacentral:rRNA from 1 species
UCUUUUUCCCCGGAGCUUGCUCCACCGGAAAAAGAAGAGUGGCGAACGGGUGAGUAACACGUGGGUAACCUGCCCAUCAGAAGGGGAUAACACUUGGAAACAGGUGCUAAUACCGUAUAACAAUCGAAACCGCAUGGUUUUGAUUUGAAAGGCGCUUUCGGGUGUCGCUGAUGGAUGGACCCGCGGUGCAUUAGCUAGUUGGUGAGGUAACGGCUCACCAAGGCCACGAUGCAUAGCCGACCUGAGAGGGUGAUCGGCCACAUUGGGACUGAGACACGGCCCAAACUCCUACGGGAGGCAGCAGUAGGGAAUCUUCGGCAAUGGACGAAAGUCUGACCGAGCAACGCCGCGUGAGUGAAGAAGGUUUUCGGAUCGUAAAACUCUGUUGUUAGAGAAGAACAAGGAUGAGAGUAACUGUUCAUCCCUUGACGGUAUCUAACCAGAAAGCCACGGCUAACUACGUGCCAGCAGCCGCGGUAAUACGUAGGUGGCAAGCGUUGUCCGGAUUUAUUGGGCGUAAAGCGAGCGCAGGCGGUUUCUUAAGUCUGAUGUGAAAGCCCCCGGCUCAACCGGGGAGGGUCAUUGGAAACUGGGAGACUUGAGUGCAGAAGAGGAGAGUGGAAUUCCAUGUGUAGCGGUGAAAUGCGUAGAUAUAUGGAGGAACACCAGUGGCGAAGGCGGCUCUCUGGUCUGUAACUGACGCUGAGGCUCGAAAGCGUGGGGAGCAAACAGGAUUAGAUACCCUGGUAGUCCACGCCGUAAACGAUGAGUGCUAAGUGUUGGAGGGUUUCCGCCCUUCAGUGCUGCAGCUAACGCAUUAAGCACUCCGCCUGGGGAGUACGACCGCAAGGUUGAAACUCAAAGGAAUUGACGGGGGCCCGCACAAGCGGUGGAGCAUGUGGUUUAAUUCGAAGCAACGCGAAGAACCUUACCAGGUCUUGACAUCCUUUGACCACUCUAGAGAUAGAGCUUCCCCUUCGGGGGCAAAGUGACAGGUGGUGCAUGGUUGUCGUCAGCUCGUGUCGUGAGAUGUUGGGUUAAGUCCCGCAACGAGCGCAACCCUUAUUGUUAGUUGCCAUCAUUCAGUUGGGCACUCUAGCAAGACUGCCGGUGACAAACCGGAGGAAGGUGGGGAUGACGUCAAAUCAUCAUGCCCCUUAUGACCUGGGCUACACACGUGCUACAAUGGGAAGUACAACGAGUCGCGAAGUCGCGAGGCUAAGCUAAUCUCUUAAAGCUUCUCUCAGUUCGGAUUGUAGGCUGCAACUCGCCUACAUGAAGCCGGAAUCGCUAGUAAUCGCGGAUCAGCACGCCGCGGUGAAUACGUUCCCGGGCCUUGUACACACCGCCCGUCACACCACGAGAGUUUGUAACACCCGAAGUCGGUGA